UGAGCGGGGGACAACAUUUGGAAACGAAUGCUAAUACCGCAUAACAACUUUAAACACAAGUUUUAAGUUUGAAAGAUGCAAUUCGCAUCACUCAAAGACGAUCCCGCGUUGUAUUAGCUAGUUGGUGAGGUAAAGGCUCACCAAGGCGAUGAUACAUAGCCGACCUGAGAGGGUGAUCGGCCACAUUGGGACUGAGACACGGCCCAAACUCCUACGGGAGGCAGCAGUAGGGAAUCUUCGGCAAUGGACGAAAGUCUGGCCGAGCAACGCCGCGUGAGUGAAGAAGGUUUUCGGAUCGUAAAACUCUGUUGGUAGAGAAGAACGUUGGUGAGAGUGGAAAGCUCAUCAAGUGACGGUAACUACCCAGAAAGGGACGGCUAACUACGUGCCAGCAGCCGCGGUAAUACGUAGGUCCCGAGCGUUGUCCGGAUUUAUUGGGCGUAAAGCGAGCGCAGGUGGUUUAUUAAGUCUGGUGUAAAAGGCAGUGGCUCAACCAUUGUAUGCAUUGGAAACUGGUAGACUUGAGUGCAGGAGAGGAGAGUGGAAUUCCAUGUGUAGCGGUGAAAUGCGUAGAUAUAUGGAGGAACACCGGUGGCGAAAGCGGCUCUCUGGCCUGUAACUGACACUGAGGCUCGAAAGCGUGGGGAGCAAACAGGAUUAGAUACCCUGGUAGUCCACGCCGUAAACGAUGAGUGCUAGAUGUAGGGAGCUAUAAGUUCUCUGUAUCGCAGCUAACGCAAUA
rnacentral:rRNA from 1 species